CGUUCAGAAAUGGUUGAAUAAUCAUCCUUUGUAACCUAGUUCAUGGAGGAUUUUUUUGAAUGUUUCAGGCAAGAGGAGUCCUCAGAAUCCUUCUCAACUCAGCAUUUAAUAAGAAUGAGAAUUGAAGAAGGGUGACCUUCAUGACACUCAUUAGUACACAAGGUCAGCCUCCUCUAUCAGAAUAUGAGCUCAUCAGCUAGGAUAUUGGCCUUGAUCAUCCUGGUGUCCUCUGCAAGGAGACUUGUGUCUCCCGGCCAGGGGGAUGAGACAACAGCCACCUUAACAGGGCUGGAUGGUUGGCCAGGCUGCUGAUUGCACAGUGAGUGUGGGGACGACGAGAUUCACCAGGAAGCGGUUGGGACUGCUCCAGGCCUGCUUCUCUUUAUGCCCAUGGCUGGUGGCUUCAUUCUGAGCUCCUGGGAGGGGACCAGGUUCAUUCCCUCCUAUCUACGUACCUCUGUCCUUGCUACCUGGCCCACAGGGAGGCAGCAGUCCCAGCUCCUUACCUGUUGCUGCUGCUGCAGACACCACCUAUGGCUCUGAGAGUGCUCAGGAAAACUGGUGGGGCCAUGAGUUAGUUUGAGAGGCACAUAGCAGUGCUCCUAAUUAGAAGUACUCCAACUGACUCCCACACUGUCCUCAAAAUCAUCCUUCAACAAACGAGACUCCCCUGUUUCUCACUGACUAAGGUUCAAGCUCCUUAGCACAGCCGAUGAGGGCCGGCACCAUGUUAGCCCUGCGAUUUUUUCAGCCAGACUUGGAUUUCUUAUGUGCCUUGUGUCCCCAACUCUCCAGUCCUGCCAAAUGUCUCCUGGUCCUUUGAACAUCUUGCUAUGCUUUUUCAGAUGCUGAGCCCAGUGCCUGGGAUCACCUUCUCCCUCUUGUCUCACAGAUAAGUCCUGCCCAUUUUUGAAGACUGAUAUGGUUUGACUGUGUUCUCAGCCAAAUCUCAUCUUGGAUUGCUCCCAUAAUUCCCAUAUGUUGUGGGAGGGACCCAGUGGGAGAUAAUUGAAUCACGGGGGCAGUUUCCCCCAUACUGUUCUCGUGGUAGUGAAUAAGUCUCAUGAGAUCUGAUGGUUUUAAAAGGGGAAACCCCUUUCACUUGGCUUGCUUUCUCUCUUGUUUGCCACCAUGUGAGACAUGUCUUUUGACUUCCACCAUGAUUGUGAGGCCUCCCCAGCCACGUGGAAUGGUGAGUCCAUUAAACCUUUUUAUCUUUAUAAAUUACCUAGUC
rnacentral:lncRNA from 10 species